AUUGAACGCUGGCGGCAUGCCUUACACAUGCAAGUCGAACGGCAGCGGGGGAGAAGCUUGCUUUUCCUGCCGGCGAGUGGCGAACGGGUGAGUAAUACAUCGGAACGUGCCCUGUAGUGGGGAUAACUAGUCGAAAGAUUAGCUAAUACCGCAUACGACCUGAGGGUGAAAGUGGGGGACCGCAAGGCCUCAUGCUAUAGGAGCGGCCGAUGUCUGAUUAGCUAGUUGGUGGGGUAAAGGCCUACCAAGGCGACGAUCAGUAGCUGGUCUGAGAGGACGAUCAGCCACACGGGGACUGGGACCCGGCCCAGACUCCUACGGGAGGCAGCAGUGGGGAAUUUUGGACAAUGGGCGAAAGCCUGAUCCAGCAAUGCCGCGUGUGUGAAGAAGGCCUUCGGGUUGUAAAGCACUUUUGUCCGGAAAGAAAUGGCUCUGGUUAAUACCUGGGGUCGAUGACGGUACCGGAAGAAUAAGGACCGGCUAACUACGUGCCAGCCGCCGCCGUAACAC
rnacentral:rRNA from 1 species